rnacentral:rRNA from 1 species
AUUGAACGCUGGCGGCAGGCCUAACACAUGCAAGUCGAAUGGUAACAGGAAACAGCUUGCUGUUUCGCUGACGAGUGGCGGACGGGUGAGUAAUGUCUGGGAAACUGCCUGAUGGAGGGGGAUAACUACUGGAAACGGUAGCUAAUACCGCAUAACGUCGCAAGACCAAAGAGGGGGACCUUCGGGCCUCUUGCCAUCAGAUGUGCCCAGAUGGGAUUAGCUGGUAGGUGGGGUAACGGCUCACCUAGGCGACGAUCCCUAGCUGGUCUGAGAGGAUGACCAGCCACACUGGAACUGAGACACGGUCCAGACUCCUACGGGAGGCAGCAGUGGGGAAUAUUGCACAAUGGGCGCAAGCCUGAUGCAGCCAUGCCGCGUGUAUGAAGAAGGCCUUCGGGUUGUAAAGUACUUUCAGCGGGGAGGAAGGGAGUAAAGUUAAUACCUUUGCUCAUUGACGUUACCCGCAGAAGAAGCACCGGCUAACUCCGUG